rnacentral:rRNA from 1 species
GGCGAACGGGUGAGUAACACGUGGGUGAUCUGCCCUGCACUUUGGGAUAAGCCUGGGAAACUGGGUCUAAUACCGAAUACACCCUGCUGGUCGCAUGGCCUGGUGGGGGAAAGCUUUUGCGGUGUGGGAUGGGCCCGCGGCCUAUCAGCUUGUUGGUGGGGUGAUGGCCUACCAAGGCGACGACGGGUAGCCGGCCUGAGAGGGUGUCCGGCCACACUGGGACUGAGAUACGGCCCAG